GCCUGGGUGGCUCAGUGGGUUAAGCAUCUGACUUCCACUCAGGUCAUGAUCUUGCAGUUUGUGGGUUCCAGCCCCACUUCGGGCU
rfam:Felis catus isolate Cinnamon breed Abyssinian chromosome A1, whole genome shotgun sequence.